rnacentral:rRNA from 1 species
UACGGAGGGUGCAAGCGUUAUCCGGAUUCACUGGGUUUAAAGGGUGCGUAGGUGGGUCUGUAAGUCAGUGGUGAAAUCCUGGAGCUCAACUCCAGAACUGCCUUAAUACUGCCAGUCUCGAGUCCGGGAAGAGGUAAGUGGAACUCCUAGUGUAGAGGUGGAAUUCGUAGAUAUCAAGCGGAACACCGGUGGCGAAGGCGGCCUCUGGACAGUGACUGACGCUGAGACGGCGAAAGCGUGGG